GGGCUCUUAGCUCAGUUGGUUAGAGCAGAGGACUCAUAAUCCUUUGGUCGCUGGUUCGAGUCCAGCAGGGCCCACCA
rnacentral:tRNA from 1 species